rnacentral:rRNA from 1 species
ACCCUUAGACGUUCUGGGCCGCACGCGCGCUACACUGACGAAGGCAACGAGCUACUCUUCACCGAAAGGUGUGGGUAAUCUUUUGAAACUUCGUCGUGCUGGGGAUAGAUCCUUGCAAUUUGUGAUCUUAAACGAGGAAUUCCUAGUAAGCGCAAGUCAUCAACUUGCGUUGAUUACGUCCCUGCCCUUUGUACACACCGCCCGUCGCUACUACCGAUUGAAUGGUUUAGUGAGGCCUUCGGAUCCGCGACUCGUUUGUGGAGAAGUUGGACAAACUCAGUCAUUUAGAGGAAGUAAAAGUCGUAACA